rnacentral:piRNA from 1 species
UGGAUCCUUGGGAAGUCGAACUUCUCCUC